AGUCAAGUAAUUAAGUGCAUGUGGUGGAUGCCUUGGCAGUCAGAGGCGAUGAAAGACGUGAUAGCCUGCGAAAAGCUCCGGGGAGGCGGCAAAUAUCCUUUGAUCCGGAGAUGUCUGAAUGGGGGAACCCACCUACUUUAAGGUAGGUAUUGCAACAUGAAUACAUAGUGUUGCAAGGCGAACGAGGGGAAGUGAAACAUCUCAGUACCCUUAGGAAAAGAAAUCAAUUGAGAUUCCCUCAGUAGCGGCGAGCGAACGGGGAUCAGCCCAUUAAGUUAUGUGUGUUUUAGUGGAACGCUCUGGGAAGUGCGAACGUAGAGGGUGAUAUUCCCGUACACGAAAGGGCACACAUAAUGAUGACGAGUAGGGCGAGGCACGUGAAACCUUGUCUGAAUAUGGGGGGACCAUCCUCCAAGGCUAAAUACUCCUGACUGACCGAUAGUGAACCAGUACCGUGAGGGAAAGGCGAAAAGAACCCCUGUGAGGGGAGUGAAAUAGAUCCUGAAACCGCAUGCAUACAAGCAGUGGGAGCACCUUCGUGGUGUGACUGCGUACCUUUUGUAUAAUGGGUCAGCGACUUAUAUUCAGUAGCGAGGUUAACCGUAUAGGGGAGCCGUAGAGAAAUCGAGUCUUAAUAGGGCGUUUAGUUGCUGGGUAUAGACCCGAAACCAGGCGAUCUAUCCAUGAGCAGGUUGAAGGUUGGGUAACACUAACUGGAGGACCGAACCCACUGUCGUUGAAAAGCCAGGGGAUGACUUGUGGAUAGGGGUGAAAGGCUAAUCAAGCCUGGUGAUAGCUGGUUCUCCCCGAAAGCUAUUUAGGUAGCGCCUCGGACGAAUACCAUAGGGGGUAGAGCACUGUUUCGGCUAGGGGGUCAUCCCGACUUACCAAACCGAUGCAAACUCCGAAUACCUAUGAGUACUAUCCGGGAGACAGACUGCGGGUGCUAACGUCCGUAGUCAAGAGGAAAACAAUCCAGACCGCCAGCUAAGGCCCCAAAAUCAUAGUUAAGUGGGAAACGAUGUGGGAAGGCAUAGACAGCUAGGAGGUUGGCUUAGAAGCAGCCACCCUUUAAAGAAAGCGUAAUAGCUCACUAGUCGAGUCGGCCUGCGCGGAAGAUGUAACGGGGCUAAAACUAUGUGCCGAAGCUGCGGAUGUAUACUUUGUAUACGUGGUAGGGGAGCGUUCUGUAAGCCGAUGAAGGUGUGUUGAGAAGCAUGCUGGAGGUAUCAGAAGUGCGAAUGCUGACGUGAGUAACGACAAAACGGGUGAAAAACCCGUUCGCCGAAAGACCAAGGGUUCCAGUCCAACGUUAAUCGGGGCUGGGUGAGUCGACCCCUAAGGCGAGGCCGAAAGGCGUAGUCGAUGGUAAAAUGGUUAAUAUUCCAUUACUUCUGUGUAAUGCGAUGAGAGGACGGAGAAGGCUAAAUCAGCCUGGCGUUGGUUGUCCAGGUGAAAGGAUGUAGGCAUGUAUCUUAGGCAAAUCCGGGGUACUCUAUGCUGAGAUCUGAUAGCAAGCUGUACUUGUACAGCGAAGUGGUUGAUGCCAUGCUUCCAGGAAAAGUCUCUAAGCUUCAGUUACACAGGAAUCGUACCCGAAACCGACACAGGUGGUCAGGUCGAGUAGACCAAGGCGCUUGAGAGAACUCUGCUGAAGGAACUAGGCAAAAUGGUACCGUAACUUCGGGAGAAGGUACGCUGUUGUUGGUGAUGGAACUCGCUUCCUGAGCUGACGACAGCCGCAGAAACCAGGCCGCUGCAACUGUUUAUUAAAAACAUAGCACUCUGCAAACACGAAAGUGGACGUAUAGGGUGUGAUGCCUGCCCGGUGCUGGAAGGUUAAUUGAUGGGGUUAGCGUAAGCGAAGCUCUUGAUCGAAGCCCCAGUAAACGGCGGCCGUAACUAUAACGGUCCUAAGGUAGCGAAAUUCCUUGUCGGGUAAGUUCCGACCUGCACGAAUGGCAUAAUGAUGGCGGCGCUGUCUCCAGCAGAGGCUCAGUGAAAUCGAAAUCGCUGUGAAGAUGCAGUGUACCCGCGGCUAGACGGAAAGACCCCGUGAACCUUUACUGCAGCUUGACACUGAACUUUGACCUUACUUGUGUAGGAUAGGUGGGAGGCUUUGAAGCUGGAACGCUAGUUCCAGUGGAGCCGUCCUUGAAAUACCACCCUGGUAAUGUUGAGGUUCUAACUCUGUCCCGUGAUCCGGGACGAGGACCGUGUCUGGUGGGUAGUUUGACUGGGGCGGUCUCCUCCUAAAGAGUAACGGAGGAGUACGAAGGUGCGCUCAGCGUGGUCGGAAAUCACGCGUAGAGUAUAAAGGCAAAAGCGCGCUUAACUGCGAGACCCACAAGUCGAGCAGGUACGAAAGUAGGUCUUAGUGAUCCGGUGGUUCUGUAUGGAAGGGCCAUCGCUCAACGGAUAAAAGGUACUCUGGGGAUAACAGGCUGAUACCGCCCAAGAGUUCAUAUCGACGGCGGUGUUUGGCACCUCGAUGUCGGCUCAUCUCAUCCUGGGGCUGAAGCAGGUCCCAAGGGUAUGGCUGUUCGCCAUUUAAAGAGGUACGCGAGCUGGGUUUAGAACGUCGUGAGACAGUUCGGUCCCUAUCUACCGUGGGCGCUGGAAAUUUGAGAGGAUCUGCUCCUAGUACGAGAGGACCAGAGUGGACGAACCUCUGGUGUACCGGUUGUGACGCCAGUCGCAUCGCCGGGUAGCUAUGUUCGGAAGGGAUAACCGCUGAAAGCAUCUAAGCGGGAAGCCUACCUCAAGAUAAGAUUUCCCUAGGACUUUAUGUCCUCUAAAGAGCCGUUCGAGACUAGGACGUUGAUAGGUUGGAUGUGGAAGCAUAGUGAUAUGUGAAGCUGACCAAUACUAAUUGCUCGUGAGGCUUGACUAU
rnacentral:rRNA from 1 species